rnacentral:rRNA from 1 species
UGGGGAAUAUUGCACAAUGGGCGAAAGCCUGAUGCAGCGACGCCGCGUGAGGGAUGACGGCCUUCGGGUUGUAAACCUCUUUCAGCAGGGAAGAAGCGAAAGUGACGGUACCUGCAGAAGAAGCGCCGGCUAACUACGUGCCAGCAGCCGCGGUAAUACGUAGGGCGCAAGCGUUGUCCGGAAUUAUUGGGCGUAAAGAGCUCGUAGGCGGUUAGUCGCGUCUGCUGUGAAAACUCGAGGCUCAACCUCGGGCUUGCAGUGGGUACGGGCUGACUAGAGUGCGGUAGGGGUGACUGGAAUUCCUGGUGUAGCGGUGGAAUGCGCAGAUAUCAGGAGGAACACCGAUGGCGAAGGCAGGUCACUGGGCCGCAACCGACGCUGAGGGGCGAAAGCAUGGGGAGCGAACAGGAUUAGAUACCCUGGUAGUCCAUGCCGUAAACGUUGGGCACUAGGUGUGGGGUCCAUUCCACGGAUUCCGUGCCGCAGCAAACGCAUUAAGUGCCCCGCUGGGGAGUACGCCGCAAGCUAAACUCAAAGGAAUUGACGGGGUCAUAGCUG